GCGGGCAUGGUGAAAUGGUAUCACAAAAGCCUUCCAAGCUUUUAGUGCGGGUUCGAUUCCCGCUGCCCGCUCCA
rnacentral:tRNA from 1 species